CACGUAGGGCGCGAGCGUUGUCCGGAAUUAUUGGGCGUAAAGAGCUCGUAGGCGGCCUGUUGCGUCCGCUGUGAAAGCCCGGGGCUUAACCCCGGGUCGGCAGUGGAUACGGGCAGGCUAGAGGUAGGUAGGGGAGAAUGGAAUUCCCGGUGUAGCGGUGAAAUGCGUAGAUAUCGUAAGGAAGACCAGUGGCGAAGGCGGGUCUCUGGACAGUUCCUGACGCUGAGGCACGAAGGUCAGGGGAGCAAACGGGG
rnacentral:rRNA from 1 species